AAAAAAAGCCGAGUGAGACUGAAGAGAGCAUUCUGUUGACAGUUCGAUUCCGAACUCCUACUGUCAUGGAGGCGCUCUCUUCAGGUGAUCUCUGGCUAGUUUUUC
rnacentral:miRNA from 1 species